ensembl:piRNA 21ur-8667 ncRNA
UCUUAGUUAGUAGUAAUAACA